GACGAACGCUGGCGGCGUGCUUAACACAUGCAAGUCGAACGGUGAAGGGGUCUGCUUUUGUGGGCCCUGGAUGAGUGGCGAACGGGUGAGUAACACGUGAGUACCUGCCCCCUUCUUCUGGAUAACCGCAUGAAAGUGUGGCUAAUACGGGAUAUUCUGGGUCUGUCGCAUGAUGGGUCUGGGAAAGAUUGCGCCUUUGGGUGUUUUUGGUGGGGGAUGGGCUCGCGGCCUAUCAGCUUGUUGGUGGGGUGAUGGCCUACCAAGGCGGUGACGGGUAGCCGGCCUGAGAGGGUGGACGGUCACACUGGGACUGAGACACGGCCCAGACUCCUACGGGAGGCAGCAGUGGGGAAUAUUGCACAAUGGGCGCAAGCCUGAUGCAGCGACGCCGCGUGAGGGAUGGAGGCCUUCGGGUUGUAAACCUCUUUCGCCAGUGAAGCAGGCCUGCUCCUUGUGGGUGGGUUGACGGUAGCUGGAUAAGAAGCGCCGGCUAACUACGUG
rnacentral:rRNA from 1 species